GGAAGCCUGAAACUCAAGUGGUCACAAAACAUAGUCCCUAUAUUUGUUACAAAGCUUUUUUUUUUUUCUUUUUUUUUUCUUUUUUUUUUUUUUUCCUUUUUGGACAUGAUCAUUGUGUGGUUCUUUAGUACUUAGUGUAAGACUCUGCUUUCUGAGUCUCCAGAAAUGACUUCUAGGGCCUCCACUGCCACCAGGGAAUGUGAAUCUAGAGAAGUUUGAGGAAGAUACUGCAUAUUGGUUCAUUCUACACCAGAAUUUCUCAAUCUUAGCACCAUUGACAUUUUGAGCUGGAUAAUUCUUUGUUAUGAGUUCUGUCCUGUGCAUUGUAGGAUGUUGAGCCACAUGUCUGGCCUCUACCCACUAGAUGCUACUAUGUUGGACAAUUGAGAAUCACAGUUGACCCUUGGACAAUGUGGGUUUGAAUUGAGCAGGUUCACUUACACAUGUUUGUUUGUUUUUUUUUUUUCAAUAAAUAUUUUGGAAAAUGUUUUGGAGAUUUGCAAAAAUUUGAAGAACUUCGCAGAUGAACCCCAUAGCCUGGAAGUAUAGAAAAAAUUAGGAAAAAGGUAUGUCAUAAAUGCAUAGAUACUAGUCUAGUUUAUUAUUUACUACCAUAAAAUGUACACUAAUAUACAUAAAAUACACACAAAAUAUAGAAAGUUAAAAUUUAUCAAAUCUCACAAACACUUAAUGGACUAUAUAUGGUGGCAUGCACAGUUGAGAGAAAUGUAAACAAACAUAGACCUAGUAUUAAAUUGUAACUUCAUAAAAUGUACCGUAGUAUAUACUGUAGUGUUGUAGUAAUUUCAUAGCCACCUGCUAUUGCUACUGCAGUGACCUUGAGUGUCGCCAGUAUCCACUUAAAAUGCCCUGUGAGAUUAAUCAUCUCUUGUGUGAGCAGUUCCUUUCUCCAGCAAAUUGUAGAUCACAGUAAAAAGUGAUCUCUCCUGGCUCUCACUAUUAAUACUUAAGUUUUGAGAGCGUCAAAAGUUAUGUUCAGAUUUUGACUGUGUGGGGGAGUCGGGGCCUCUAACCCUCAUGUUGUUCAAGGGUCAGCUGUGUAAUUUGGAUUUAUUAACACUGACUAAUCAAUAUUAAAGGGAUAAGCAACUCAAAGGUAGUCAGUUACCAUUGGCACAGCUCUACCAGACAUUAAAAUAUGAAUGCUGCACUUCCAGACCAGUUGGUGAAUGGCAACUAGUUGCUAUCCUGAGCCCUCAAGUAGUCCCUGCUUACCUGACUUCCUGGGACCCUUCCUUGGGGUCUCUCAAUUUGGAUCUCCUAAUUAUUGACCAAGUAAGAUGACUGGCACAUUUGGGGCCUUCAGAAAGCUUUUCUAGCUCUGUGGCCAGCAUGUGAUCUGACUGGUACCAUACUGGUUAUUAAAUGUGUAUAUAUUUCAUUUCAGGACAACUUCUUCCAAAUUAUUUCUUUAACCUUACUCCAAACCAAGCUAACUCCAUUGUGUUUUGUUUCAAAUUACAGUUUACUUCAUCUGCAUUUUUUUCUCCUCAUAAAGCCAUAUAAAUAAGAAGAGGACUCUGCCGUGAAGACAAAUGUGAGUGAGCAUGAGCAGUGAAGCUCUGAAAAAGCCUUUUACUUUUUUUGGUCAAAUUCCCACAGUGCUCUUAGCUACCAUCACUGUUAUAGUUAAAAUACUGUGACUUUUCCAUGUCUCUAUCUCUUUUCUCUGCCUGUGUUUUCACUAUUUUCUCCAUGAUUUGGCUGAUCUUUACAGUUUCUCCCAAAUUGACUAAUUUAAUCCUGGUAUUUUUACUAACUAGCUGUCAUGCCUUCCUACCUUCUAAAAAAAAUUUUCCCCCUAUGAAGAUUACUACCCACUGAACAAGAGGAAAGGGGAAGCAAGAUAAGAAAUUGUAUAUUCUAUGUUGUUGUAACUAUGAAAAAUUAACGUGUUAGACUGGGUUCUCCAAAUGCAGGCUCCAAACUGUUCAAGGAUUAGAUUAGGAGAAAUGCCUGUGAGAAAAAGUGGGGAGGUAUGAGAGAAAAAUGGGGAGAAGGGAGAAAGACCACAAAGCAACCCUGAUCCAUAGUGAUGGGGAGCAGGAAGUAGGUUAGGGGGAAGUAUCCUAGACUAAUAUGAACUCUAAGGAAGGUUUGGCAAGGCUAUAAGGGAGUUCUUAAGCCAAAGUCUGUCAUUAGAGGAGUCCUGUGUCUCAGAAAUGGACCUGCCUUGGUAUUUGCAUUUUCUUUAGUCACUGGCUAAAAAGCAUGGCCUCUUUCACAAAGUGGAUGAUGGAUUUGGGGGCACAGAACCUGGGGCUCCUGGUCCUUUACACUGCUUGUAGCUGGAAAUCUAUAAGGUAUGCUACCCUUCUUUUCCAUGUAGCCCCCAUAAUUCCUCCUGAAAGAACAAGUUCAUGGCUUCAGACUCUAACAUUCUGCUGAGACCUGAAGCUGCAAAUACAUCAAAGCAUGUACACAUCCACAAAAGUAAAAGAUAAAAAACAAUUUGUAAAGCUAUGAUGUAUCCAAAGCUAUGGAUGCAACCAUAGUUGGUUUCAUGAGGAAAGCAAUGCGAUAAACAUACACAAUAGCACAAAAGUAUAGUACAAGUAAGUACUAUAAACACAUACAAAUUUGGUACACCCAGGUGCAUAGGAUAUAAGAGAAGUCAACUUUAUGUCCGUAUCUGAAUGGGAAGAAAGAAAGGAAAAUGCAUUUGUCAGGAUCCUAGUUUUGAGUAAGGCACUGUGGUAGGUGGUUUCAUGUAUAGUAACUUAAAAUAUAUAGCACUAUUUAAGCCCCUUAUUGAACACUUAUAGCAACCUUUCAGUAGGUGUUAUUAUUCCCGAGGUAAUAGAUUCAAAGUUAAGUAAUUUGUCUAAGGCCACACAUCUAGGAAAUGAUAGAACCAGAAUACACUUCAAGUCUGCCAGUAGGGAAGUAAGGGGAGAAGGGCAUUCUUGGGCAUUCUCUGUGUAUACAUCUGCCUGCCCAAAGCAUCUGCCUGCCCAAAGCAUCUUCAGUCUUCUAAGUUUUGCAGCUGAGGGUAUUUUAUACCAUGUUUUGGGUCAACCUUCUCCACCUCAUAGUGUGGGACCAAUCCUUUCACCCAAGGGAUACUUUAAGGAGCAAAGGCUCAAUAUCAAAUUGGCCUCUUUGCCCAUCUUGGGGUGUGGAUCCUUUUUUUGUAUUCCAGUUUUGAUGAAUGGUCCCUCCCUGCCUUGGUUACCUACCCAGCCCUCUAGUUCUACUGUGAUAGCACCCCUGCUUUGACUCCUUCCAGUCUUAAGUGGUUGGAGAGUUUUCUCAAUAUAGGCCCUUCUUUAGAUCUCCUGCCCUCAGGCUUCUAAUUCUUUCUGCCCUUUACUUCUGAGGCCUCCUGGCAUGACCGAUCCAUCCUUGUAAAUUUGGGGGGGAAUUCAGACCACCUUUAAUCUGCUACAUUUAUUUGCUAAUCAAAGCUUUGUUACGAUGCUUAUUCACAGUCUCAAUCUCCAUGCAACAGUGACUCCCAUUAGCAAAUAAACAUAUUCAAAUUGCUCUGCCACCAUUGUAUUUUGACUUAUUAACACAGGGUUUCCUGGUAUCCAUCUUGUCCAAAUUAAGCCCAUCGUUGACUCAGGAAUAAUUAUAGAUACAAUUUAAUGAUCACUUUGCAUACAUUAUCGCAGCUCACCAACAUGACAGAUUGAUGUUAUUACCAUCUGUGUUCUACAGAACAUAAAAUCAAGAUGUGGAACAAAUUUGAUUUUCUGGAAGCAGACACUGAGAUAAAUUAGGGAUUAGCA
rnacentral:lncRNA from 1 species